rnacentral:rRNA from 1 species
GAUAAACGCUGGCGGCGUGCUUAACACAUGCAAGUCGAACGAAGAUGCCGGAGUGCUUGCACUUUGGCAGACUGAGUGGCGGACGGGUGAGUAACGCGUGGGUAACCUGCCUUAUACAGGGGGAUAACAGUUGGAAACGACUGCUAAUACCGCAUAAGCGCACGGUAUCGCAUGAUACAGUGUGAAAAACUCCGGUGGUAUAAGAUGGACCCGCGUCUGAUUAGCUUGUUGGUGAGGUAACGGCCCACCAAGGCGACGAUCAGUAGCCGGCCUGAGAGGGUGAACGGCCACAUUGGGACUGAGACACGGCCCAAACUCCUACGGGAGGCAGCAGUGGGGAAUAUUGCACAAUGGGGGAAACCCUGAUGCAGCGACGCCGCGUGAGUGAUGAAGUAUUUCGGUAUGUAAAACUCUAUCAGCAGGGAAGAUAAUGACGGUACCUGACUAAGAAGCACCGGCUAAAUACGUGCCAGCAGCCG